GACGAACGCUGGCGGCGUGCUUAACACAUGCAAGUCGAACGGAAAGGCCCUGCUUUUGUGGGGUGCUCGCGUGGCGCACGGGUGAGAAACACAUGAGUCACCUGCCCUUGACGUUGGGAUAACUUCAGGCAACUGGGGCUAAUACCGGAUAGGUGCUCCUGCUGCAUGGUGGGGGUUGGAAAGUUUCGGCGGAUGGGGAUGGACUCGCGGCUUACCAGCUUGUUGGUGGGGUAGUGGCUUACCAAGGCAUUGACGGGUAGCCGGCCUGAGAGGGUGACCGCGGACAUGGGGACUGCGAGACGGCCCAGACUGCUACGGGAGGCAGCAGUGGAAAAUAUGGCACAAUGGGCGGAAGUCUGAUGCAGCAGCGCCGCGUGCGUAAUGACGGCCUUCGGGGUGUAAACCGCUGUCGCCUGAGACGAAGCGUGAGUGACGGUAAUGGGUAAAGAAGCACCGGCUAACUACGUG
rnacentral:rRNA from 1 species